GUGAAAUGCCAAUGAAUCUCAACAUUGAGGACAAGCAUACGAUCGAAUCCACUGACUCCAAAGCUCCAACAACACCUAAGCAACCUUUUUUCAUUGGUGUUGCUGGUGGAACUGCAUCUGGAAAAACAACUGUUUGUAAUAUGAUAAAUACCCAACUUCGUGAUCAACGUGUUGUCCUCAUUAGCCAAGAUUCGUUUUAUUACCCACUGAGUGAUCAGACACUGCAAAAGGUUAAUGAGUAUAAUUUUGAUCAUCCUGAUGCCUUUGAUACGAAGCUUUUGCUCUCAACAAUGGAGAAAUUAAAAUGUGGACAACAUGUUGAUAUACCU
rnacentral:sRNA from 1 species